UUGACCUCGGAUCAGGUAGGGAUACCCGCUGAACUUAAGCAUAUCAAUAAGCGGAGGAAAAGAAACCAACAGGGAUUGCCUCAGUAACGGCGAGUGAAGCGGCAACAGCUCAAAUUUGAAAUCUGACCCCCUCGGGGCCCGAGUUGUAAUUUGUAGAGGGUGUUUUCGGGCGCGGCGCCGGUCUAAGUUCUUGGAACAGGACGUCACAGAGGGUGAGAAU
rnacentral:rRNA from 1 species